rnacentral:tRNA from 1 species
GGCGUCGUAGCCAAGUGGCAAGGCAGGAGUCUGCAAAACUCUGAUCGGCGGUUCGAAUCCGCCCGACGCCUCCC